GGUCAGCUGACACAUCCCUGCCAAUCUCCGGCAGACCCUCCCUCCCAGAUCCUCCCACCUCCUGGACAGCAUCCAUGUUGAAGCUGCCUUCAACAUGGAUGCUGUCCAGGAGGUGGAAGGGUCUGGGAGGGAGGGUCUGCCGGAGAUUGGCAGGGAUGUGUCAGCUG